GACGAACGCUGGCGGCGUGCUUAACACAUGCAAGUCGAACGGAAAGGCCCUGCUUUUGUUGGGUGCUCGAGUGGCGAACGGGUGAGUAACACGUGAGUAACCUGCCCUUGACUUUGGGAUAACUUCAGGAAACUGGGGCUAAUACCGGAUAGGAGCUCCUGCUGCCUGGUGGGGGUUGGAAAGGUUCGGCGGUUGGGGAUGGACUCGCGGCUUAUCAGCUUGUUGGUGGGGUAGUGGCUUACCAAGGCUUUGACGGGUAGCCGGCCUGAGAGGGUGACCGGCCACAUUGGGACUGAGGUACGGCCCAGACUCCUACGGGAGGCAGCAGUGGGGAAUAUUGCACAAUGGCGGGAAGCCUGAUGCAGCAACGCCGCGUGCGGGAUGACGGCCUUCGGGUUGUAAACCGCUUUCUCCUGUGACGAAGCGUGAGUGACGGUAAUGGGUAAAGAAGCACCGGCUAACUACGUG
rnacentral:rRNA from 1 species